rnacentral:rRNA from 1 species
UACGUAGGGUCCGAGCGUUGUCCGGAAUUAUUGGGCGUAAAGGGCUCGUAGGCGGUUCGUCACGUCGGGAGUGAAAACCCGGGGCUUAACCCCUGGCUUGCAGUGGAUACGGACAGACUAGAGGUAGGUAGGGGAGAAUGGAAUUCCCGGUGUAGCGGUGAAAUGCGCAGAUAUCGGGAGGAACACCGGUGGCGAAGGCGGUUCUCUGGGCCUUACCUGACGCUGAGGAGCGAAAGCGUGGGGAGCGAACAGG